rnacentral:rRNA from 1 species
GACGAACGCUGGCGGCGUGCCUAAUACAUGCAAGUAGAACGCUUCUUUCCUCCCGUGUCCUUCCACUCCAUAGGCAGGGGGAGUGGCGGGCGGGUGUGUAACGCGUGUGUAACCUCCCCAUCAGGGGGGUAUAACACUUGGAAACAGGCUCUAAUACCGCAUAACUGUUUAUUCCGCAUUGCAUAAGUGUAAAGUGCACUUUCGGGACUCGCUGAUGGAUGUACCUUCGGUGCGUUAGUUAGUGGGUGAGGUAACGACUCACCAAGGCAACGAUGCAUAGCCGACCGGAGAGGGGGAUCGGCCAAACUGGGACUGAGAAACGGCCCAGACUCCUACGGGAGGAAGAAGUAGGGAAUCUUCGGCAAGGGACGAAAGUCUGACCGAGCAACGCGGCGGGAGUGAGGAAGGUUUUCGGAUCGUAAAACUCGGUUGUUAGGGAAGAACAAGGACGUUAGGAACUGAUCGUCCUGUGACGGUAUCUAACCAGAAAGCCACGGCUAACUACGUG